AACGACAAAAAGGGGACGGAGGGAAUUAAGUCGUUUAUGCAUAAACGACUUAAUUCCCUCCGUCCCCUUUUUGUCAGC
rnacentral:antisense_RNA from 1 species